rnacentral:rRNA from 1 species
GACGAACGCUGGCGGCGUGCCUAACACAUGCAAGUCAACUUGACUGAAGGAGCAAUCUGACAGUAGAGUGGCGCAAGGGUGCGUAACGCGCAAGUAACUUGCCCCAAGGUAAGGAAUAACGUCGAGAAAUCGGCGCUAAUACCUCAUAAUGCAGCGGAUCCGCAUGGAUAUGUUGUUAAAGGUUUACCGCCUUGGGAUAGGCUUGCGUCUGAUUAGUUAGUUGGUGUGGUAACGGCACACCAAGGCUACGAUCAGUAACUGGUCUGAGAGGAUGAUCAGUCACACUGGAACUGAGACACGGUCCAGACUCCUACGGGAGGCAGCAGUGAGGAAUAUUGGGCAAUGCUCGAAAGAGUGACCCAGCAACGCCGCGUGGAGGAUGAAGGUAUUCUAUAUCGUAAACUCCUGUGAGAGCAGACGAAGACAGAUUAUAAUCUGGAUGACUGUAUGCUCAGAGGAAG